CCUGCCGAAUGAAUUAGCCCUGAAAAUGGAUGGCGUUGAAGCGUGUAGCCGAGACUAAGCCGUCUGAGCGAAAUAUAUGCUUUUUCAGAUGAGUAGGAGGAACGUGGCGGUUGUAUAGAAGCGUAUGCGCGAGCAUGCGUGGAACGGCCGCUAGUGCAGAUCUUGGUGGUAGUAGCAAAUAUUCAAAUGAAAGCCUUGAAGGGCGAAGUGGGGAAGGGUUCCACGCGAACAUUGAUUGAGUGUGGGUGAGUCGUUCCUAAGCCGAGUGGUAGAUCCUGGCCACUGAGCGAAAGGGAAGCAGGUUGAUAUUCCUGCACACGGAUGUGGAAUAAAAGAAGCGGUGACGCUCUUUCUGCGGCGGUGAAGCCGUCGGUUGCACUGGGCAGAGAUUUCUUUUCUGUUUGACAAAGUCUGAUGUACUCUAUGGAAUCCGCUUGUCGGGAGAAAUAGGUAUGUCACGGCAAAGCGCCAGAAACUUUCUGGCGUCCAGCUCGCGACUGGUGGACCUUGAAAAGCUGUCUGCAGGCCGUUUCAAACACGGUGAAAAAAACAUUCCACGCCGUAACGUACCGAUAACCGCAGCAGGUCCCCAAGGUGAACAGCCUCUGCUCGAUAUGAUUACUGUAGGUAAGGGAAGUCGGCAAAUUAGACCCGUAACUUUGGGAAAAGGGUUGGCUCUAUUGCUUCGUAGGAGUGGUUGCUGGGGUGUAGCGAGGGGUGAGUGUGUUCUGGUGGUUGUUUCUGCUGGUACUUUUCGAAGUGCUGUUGGGGAUGGCUGCCGGGGCCGCUUGUUUUUCGUUGCUCCUGGGGACGCCUACAGCAUGCAGCAAACUAGAACUGCAACGGACAAAGGGAAUCCGACUGUUUAAUUAAAACAAAGCAUU
rnacentral:rRNA from 1 species